GAAUCUGUUGGAGAUAUUUCUUCUAGAACUUCUGCCUGAACUGAAGAAAACCAAAGAACAAAUCUUGAGACAAAAUUCAGCAAGUCAAGAGGAGCCUGUGGUUAAACCAGAGAAAGUAGAUUCUGCUAUGUAGGUAUCAGAGAAAGUAGAUUCUGCUAUGUAGGUAUCAGAGAAAGUAGAUUCUGCUAUGUAGAUAUCUGAGAAAGUAGAUUCUGCUAUAUAGGUAUCAGAGAAAGUAGAUUCUGCUAUGAAGGUAUCAGUGAAAGUAGAUUCUGCUAUGUAGGUACCAGAGAAAGUAGAUUCUGCUAUGAAGGUAUCAGAGAAAGUAGAUUCUGCUAUGUAGGUAUCCAUGACUAGACAUGAUUGACAAACUCUGAUGCAUACUUUCUGUUUCUGUAAACAUGUUAAAACCCUAAGUGCUUGUAAACCUAGUGGAACUUAGCUGUCUCUCUUGGUACAUCUCUGCGUAAUGAUAAUGUUAUUUGGACUGCUCUCCUUGUUAGUGGGACUUUGUAUAGACACACUUUCUGGGAAAGACUGAUAACCUUCAUCUACAAUUCUGAAUCACACGGGUCAUGUUGACACAUUUCAAUCCACCUGUUUUCUUUAUUUUGUCAUGAAUCACUUUGAAAAAAAUCAUCGCAAAUUAUAAAUUAAUAUUAAAUGAAUAAUAGAAUAAAUAUUAGUAAGCGUAAACUUGAGAUUUUUAACUAGAGUGUUACU
rnacentral:sRNA from 1 species